rnacentral:rRNA from 1 species
AGUGAACGCUGGCGGUAGGCCUAACACAUGCAAGUCGAACGGCAGCACAGUGAGAGCUUGCUCUUACGGGUGGCGAGUGGCGGACGGGUGAGGAAUACAUCGGAAUCUACUUUUUCGUGGGGGAUAACGUAGGGAAACUUACGCUAAUACCGCAUACGACCUACGGGUGAAAGCAGGGGAUCUUCGGACCUUGCGCGAUUGAAUGAGCCGAUGUCGGAUUAGCUAGUUGGCGGGGUAAAGGCCCACCAAGGCGACGAUCCGUAGCUGGUCUGAGAGGAUGAUCAGCCACACUGGAACUGAGACACGGUCCAGACUCCUACGGGAGGCAGCAGUGGGGAAUACUGGACAAUGGGCGCAAGCCUGAUCCAGCCAUACCGCGUGGGUGAAGAAGGCCUUCGGGUUGUAAAGCCCUUUUGUUGGGAAAGAAAAGCAGCAGGUUAAUACCCCGCUGUUCUGACGGUACCCAAAGAAUAAGCACCGGCUAACUUCGUG